UACGAAGGGGGCUAGCGUUGUUCGGAAUUACUGGGCGUAAAGCGCGCGCAGGCGGCUAUCCAAGUCAGUGGUGAAAGCCCGGAGCUUAACUCCGGAACUGCCAUUGAAACUGUUUAGCUUGAGGACGAGAGAGGUGAGUGGAAUUCCCAGUGUAGAGGUGAAAUUCGUAGAUAUCGGGAGGAACACCGGUGGCGAAGGCGGUUCUCUGGGCCUGUACUGACGCUGAGGAGCGAAAGCGUGGGGAGCGAACAGG
rnacentral:rRNA from 1 species